AGGCACUUAGUAUAAAAAAAACAUUUGAUUUCGGCUCAAAAGAUUAUGGUUAAAACCCACAAUUGCCUA
rnacentral:tRNA from 1 species